rnacentral:rRNA from 1 species
UAGCUAGUUGGUGAGGUAAAGGCUUACCAAGGCGACGACCUGUAGCGGGUCUGAGAGGAUGAUCCGCCACACUGGAACUGAGACACGGUCCAGACUCCUACGGGAGGCAGCAGUGGGGAAUUUUGGACAAUGGGGGCAACCCUGAUCCAGCCAUGCCGCGUGAGUGAAGAAGGCCUUCGGGUUGUAAAGCUCUUUCGGCCGGGAAGAAAUCGCAUGGGCCAAUACCCUGUGUGGAUGACGGUACCGGAAUAAGAAGCACCGGCUAACUACGUGCAGCAGCCGCGGUAAUACGUAGGGUGCGAGCGUUAAUCGGAAUUACUGGGCGUAAAGCGUGCGCAGGCGGUUUUGUAAGACAGGCGUGAAAUCCCCGGGCUUAACCUGGGAACUGCGUUUGUGACUGCAAGGCUAGAGUACGGCAGAGGGGGGUGGAAUUCCACGUGUAGCAGUGAAAUGCGUAGAGAUGUGGAGGAACACCAAUGGCGAAGGCAGCCCCCUGGGUCGAUACUGACGCUCAUGCACGAAAGCGUGGGUAGCAAACAGGAUUAGAUACCCUGGUAGUCCACGCCCUAAACUAUGUCAACUAGGUGUUGGGUGGGUAAAACCAUUUAGUACCGUAGCUAACGCGUGAAGUUGACCGCCUGGGGAGUACGGCCGCAAGGUUAAAACUCAAAGGAAUUGACGGGGACCCGCACAAGCGGUGGAUGAUGUGGAUUAAUUCGAUGCAACGCGAAAAACCUUACCUACCCUUGACAUGCCAGGAACUUGCCAGAGAUGGCUUGGUGCCCGAAAGGGAGCCUGGACACAGGUGCUGCAUGGCUGUCGUCAGCUCGUGUCGUGAGAUGUUGGGUUAAGUCCCGCAACGAGCGCAACCCUUGUCGUUAAUUGCCAUCAUUUAGUUGGGCACUUUAACGAGACUGCCGGUGACAAACCGGAGGAAGGUGGGGAUGACGUCAAGUCCUCAUGGCCCUUAUGGGUAGGGCUUCACACGUCAUACAAUGGUCGGUACAAAGGGUUGCCAAGCCGCGAGGCGGAGCCAAUCCCAGAAAGCCGAUCGUAGUCCGGAUUGCAGGCUGCAACUCGCCUGCAUGAAGUCGGAAUCGCUAGUAAUCGUGGAUCAGCAUGUCACGGUGAAUACGUUCCCGGGUCUUGUACACACCGCCCGUCACACCAUGGGAGCGGGUUCCGCCAGAAGUAGGUAGCCUAACCGCAAGGGGGGCGCUUACCACGGCGGGGUUCGUGACUGGGGUGAAGUCGUAACAAGGUAGCCGUAGGGGAACCUGCGGCUG